rnacentral:misc_RNA from 1 species
UCGAGUAAUAGGGUGUAAAAACCCCUACUCCCACACCAUGUGUACCUUUACCUUUUGUUGCUUUGGUAGGCCGCUUUCUUCGGAGAGUGCCGACCCUUUGGGGUUGGAGAGUGCCUACCAGAGGACCAAUUCAAAACUCUUUUAUUCAUCUGAUGAAGUCUGAGUAUAAAUUUUUAAUUUAAUUA